UUAAGCGACUAAGCGUACACGGUGGAUGCCCUGGCAGUCAGAGGCGAUGAAGGACGUGCUAAUCUGCGAAAAGCGUCGGUAAGGUGAUAUGAACCGUUAUAGCCGGCGAUGUCCGAAUGGGGAAACCCAGUGCAAUUCGUUGCACUAUCGUUAACUGAAUACAUAGGUUAACGAGGCGAACCGGGGGAACUGAAACAUCUAAGUACCCCGAGGAAAAGAAAUCAACCGAGAUUCCCCCAGUAGCGGCGAGCGAACGGGGAGCAGCCCAGAGUCUGAAUCAGCUUGUGUGUUAGUGGAACGGUCUGGAAAGUCCGACGGUACAGGGUGAUAGUCCCGUACACCAAAAUGCACAGGYUGUGAACUCGAAGAGUAGGGCGGGACACGUGGUAUCCUGUCUGAAUAUGGGGGGACCAUCCUCCAAGGCUAAAUACUCCUGACUGACCGAUAGUGAACCAGUACCGUGAGGGAAAGGCGAAAAGAACCCCGGCGAGGGGAGUGAAAAAGAACCUGAAACCGUGUACGUACAAGCAGUGGGAGCACCUUCGUGGUGUGACUGCGUACCUUUUGUAUAAUGGGUCAGCGACUUAUAUUCUGUAGCAAGGUUAACCGUAUAGGGGAGCCGCAGGGAAACCGAGUCUUAACUGGGCGUUAAGUUGCAGGGUAUAGACCCGAAACCCGGUGAUCUAGCCAUGGGCAGGUUGAAGGUUGGGUAACACUAACUGGAGGACCGAACCGACUAAUGUUGAAAAAUUAGCGGAUGACUUGUGGCUGGGGGUGAAAGGCCAAUCAAACCGGGAGAUAGCUGGUUCUCCCCGAAAGCUAUUUAGGUAGCGCCUCGUGAAYUCAUCUUCGGGGGUAGAGCACUGUUUCGGCUAGGGGGUCAUCCCGACUUACCAACCCGAUGCAAACUACGAAUACCGAAGAAUGUUAUCACGGGAGACACACGGCGGGUGCUAACGUCCGUCGUGAAGAGGGAAACAACCCAGACCGCCAGCUAAGGUCCCAAAGUCAUGGUUAAGUGGGAAACGAUGUGGGAAGGCACAGACAGCCAGGAUGUUGGCUUAGAAGCAGCCAUCAUUUAAAGAAAGCGUAAUAGCUCACUGGUCGAGUCGGCCUGCGCGGAAGAUGUAACGGGGCUAAACCAUGCACCGAAGCUGCGGCAGCGACACGAUGYGUUGUUGGGUAGGGGAGCGUUCUGUAAGCCUGCGAAGGUGRCCUGUGAGGGYUGCUGGAGGUAUCAGAAGUGCGAAUGCUGACAUAAGUAACGAUAAAGCGGGUGAAAAGCCCGCUCGCCGGAAGACCAAGGGUUCCUGUCCAACGUUAAUCGGGGCAGGGUGAGUCGACCCCUAAGGCGAGGCCGAAAGGCGUAGUCGAUGGGAAACAGGUUAAUAUUCCUGUACUUGGUGUUACUGCGAAGGGGGGACGGAGAAGGCUAUGUUAGCCGGGCGACGGUUGUCCCGGUUUAAGCAUGUAGGCUGGUUAUCCAGGCAAAUCCGGAUAAUCAAGGCUGAGGUGUGAUGACGAGGCACUACGGUGCUGAAGUAACAAAUGCCCUGCUUCCAGGAAAAGCCUCUAAGCAUCAGGUAACAUCAAAUCGUACCCCAAACCGACACAGGUGGUCAGGUAGAGAAUACCAAGGCGCUUGAGAGAACUCGGGUGAAGGAACUAGGCAAAAUGGUGCCGUAACUUCGGGAGAAGGCACGCUGGUGUGUAGGUGAAGYCCCUGCGGRUGGAGCUGAGACCAGUCGAAGAUACCAGCUGGCUGCAACUGUUUAUUAAAAACACAGCACUGUGCAAACACGAAAGUGGACGUAUACGGUGUGACGCCUGCCCGGUGCCGGAAGGUUAAUUGAUGGGGUUAUCCGUAAGGAGAAGCUCUUGAUCGAAGCCCCGGUAAACGGCGGCCGUAACUAUAACGGUCCUAAGGUAGCGAAAUUCCUUGUCGGGUAAGUUCCGACCUGCACGAAUGGCGUAAUGAUGGCCAGGCUGUCUCCACCCGAGACUCAGUGAAAUUGAACUCGCUGUGAAGAUGCAGUGUACCCGCGGCAAGACGGAAAGACCCCGUGAACCUUUACUAUAGCUUGACACUGAACAUUGAGCCUUGAUGUGUAGGAUAGGUGGGAGGCUUUGAAGCGUGGACGCCAGUCUGCGUGGAGCCAACCUUGAAAUACCACCCUUUAAUGUUUGAUGUUCUAACGUUGGCCCCUWAYCGGGGUUGCGGACAGUGUCUGGUGGGUAGUUUGACUGGGGCGGUCUCCUCCCAAAGCGUAACGGAGGAGCACGAAGGUUAGCUAAUCCUGGUCGGACAUCAGGAGGUUAGUGCAAUGGCAUAAGCUAGCUUGACUGCGAGCGUGACGGCGCGAGCAGGUGCGAAAGCAGGUCAUAGUGAUCCGGUGGUUCUGAAUGGAAGGGCCAUCGCUCAACGGAUAAAAGGUACUCCGGGGAUAACAGGCUGAUACCGCCCAAGAGUUCAUAUCGACGGCGGUGUUUGGCACCUCGAUGUCGGCUCAUCACAUCCUGGGGCUGAAGUAGGUCCCAAGGGUAUGGCUGUUCGCCAUUUAAAGUGGUACGCGAGCUGGGUUUAGAACGUCGUGAGACAGUUCGGUCCCUAUCUGCCGUGGGCGCUGGAGAAUUGAGGGGGGCUGCUCCUAGUACGAGAGGACCGGAGUGGACGCAUCACUGGUGUUCGGGUUGUCAUGCCAAUGGCACUGCCCGGUAGCUAAAUGCGGAAGAGAUAAGUGCUGAAAGCAUCUAAGCACGAAACUUGCCCCGAGAUGAGUUCUCCCUGAGACUUUAAGUCUCCUGAAGGAACGUUAAAGACGAUGACGUUGAUAGGCCGGGUGUGUAAGCGCAGCGAUGCGUUGAGCUAACCGGUACUAAUGAACCGUGAGGCUUAACCU
rnacentral:rRNA from 1 species